GUAGAAAUGUUUGCCUCUUUCAUUAGUGUUUGACUGCUAUGCUCUCUUAUUUCUUCCUUAUAAUUUUGUAAGCUUUCUCUCUCCUCCAUUACUAUUAGAUUUUUUUUCCUGCUCAAUGUUAUCAUAUGCGUUCUUCAAGCAGAUCUACCCUCUUAAUUUUUUUUUCUGUUAAUCUGAUGUGAGCCUGAGAAACCAGGUUCUUGAUAAAAGCUUAGAGGAGGAGGAGGGAGGAAAAAGAAGAUGUUUGUGAUGAUGAUAAUGAUGAUGGUGAUGCUGAUGGUGUUGAUGACCAUGAUGAUGCUGAUAAUGAAGUGUACAAAAUGAAGAAUGCUGAAUGGGAAAUAGCAAGACAGAUUUCAGCUCCACAUAAGGAAGGAUGUCCUGCAAAUUAGCAAAGCCUAAAAAUGAAACAUGAUGCUUUAAGAAAUACUGAUGAUUCAUAAAAGAAACUUUUAUUGUGAGAGUUUCUCUUCAUUGGGGCAAAUCAAUAAAAUGCCCAUAUUUUCUAACAUUCAAAUGUUGCUUGGAAUCACU
rnacentral:lncRNA from 1 species